CACGUAGGGCGCAAGCGUUGUCCGGAAUUAUUGGGCGUAAAGAGCUCGUAGGCGGUCUGUUGCGUCCGCUGUGAAAACUCGGGGCUUAACCCCGAGCCUGCAGUGGAUACGGGCAGACUAGAGGUAGGUAGGGGAGAAUGGAAUUCCCGGUGUAGCGGUGAAAUGCGCAGAUAUCGGGAGGAACACCGGUGGCGAAGGCGGUUCUCUAGUACGGUACUGACGCUGAGACGCGAAAGCGUGGGGAGCGAACAGG
rnacentral:rRNA from 1 species